rnacentral:misc_RNA from 1 species
GAUGAAGAACGCAGCGAAAUGCGAUACUUGGUGUGAAUUGCAGAAUCCCGUGAACCAUCGAGUCUUUGAACGCAAGUUGCGCCUCAAGCCAUUAGGUUGAGGGCACGUCUGCCUGGGCGUCACAUAUCGUUGCCUGAUGCCAGUUUCCUCGUGAUGGGUGACUGUGCAGGGCGAAUGAUGGCUUCCCGUGAGCAUUGUUGCCUCAUGGUUGGUUGAAAAUUGAGUCCUUGGUAGGGCGCGCCGUGAUAGAUGGUGGUUGAGUGACGAACGAGACCCAAUCAUGUGAGACCCCUACCGAAUUUGGCCUUCAUGACCCACAUGCGUCUUUGGAACGCUCAUGACGAGACCUCAGGUCAGGCGGGGCUACCCGCUGAGUUUAAGCAUAUCAAUAAGCGGAGGA